rnacentral:lncRNA from 1 species
CCCGGCGGCCCGCCCCUCACCUGCGCCGCGCCCCGCGCCCCUGCUUAAAGGGCCCGCGCCCCGCCGCCAGGGGCGCUCUCACUCCCCUCCCCCAGCGCUGGGUGCCUCCUGGGACCGGAGAAGUCCGGGGAGAGAGCCCAGCCCUGGUAGAUCCCGCCGCUGGGCCGAGGAAGAGCGAGGGGGUCUGUUGGACCUCAAUUCCACCCUUCCCCUUCGACAGCCAUUCACUCCCUGCGCCAGGCUCUGUGCUGGGAUCCAGCCUCAACAGACUCAUUCAUUGCUAGGCGCGGACAACGUCCCGUAAACAAAGAACACUCAGACAUUGUGGAUUGAGCUAUAAUAAGUGGGAGAAAGAGCUAAUUCUAAUUCUGCCUGGAGGAAGGGCACUGCAAGUCAUGGAAUUUGUACUGUCUAGGGGACUGCAUAUUGGAGCUGGAAGAGGGUUUUUCCAGAGGAAGUAACUGGAGAUGAGGUGGGACGGGACAGGCUGGGACGAAGAAUUUGGGCUUCUUGAUGUUGGCAAUUGGGACCCCGCUGAGAAAUGCGAGCAGUUCUGUGUUGAAGUCAGAACACCUGCCACUAGCAAUUUGUACAACUUUGGGAAAGUUUCUCUAGGGGACCCCGCUUCCACAUCUAUAAAUCAGAGUACCCACUUCACAGUUUGCUGUGAGACCUGUGUGAUAGAGGAAUGACUGAUUCGUCACCUAUAGAGCAGGGUUGUGAGAUAAAGAUGUUUGUGUAGGAAAGCUUAAGCCGUUCUCCUCUGCUACGUGGUGUAAAGAUCCCAGAGAGUGACGCUCAAUAAAUGAGACUGUACGACGAUUCAAUACUCAGGAAAAGAAGGUGGAGUCUCCGGUCCUUAGUAAAGGGAAGGCUUCUUCGCCCCCUGGUGGUCAUAAGUGGAAAAGAAGUCUGAAAAGGGCCGUACGAAUCGGGAGUAAGGAUCAAGGAUGGCCAUUCAGCCUCUGCCGGAACACAUCCCGGGAUGGAACAUCCUAGUCCUCCUGGGAAAAGGCAGAAGUCUGGGUUCCACUUGCGAGUUGUGUACAAUAAACUGAAGAAAAUCAGGAAUCCAGGUGCAGCUUAGGUGGGUGCCUCUGUUUCAAGAUCUCUUACGAGACUACAAUUAAAGUCUAAGCUGGGACUACAGCCUCAUUUCACGGCUUGACUGUGGAAGGAUCUGCUUCCAAGGUCACUCAUGUGGUUGUUGGCAGGAAUCAGUCCUCAGGUGCUGUUGGACUUGGUUCCGUGCUGGCUAUUGGCUGGAGGCUGUCCUCAGUUCCUUGCCGUGUGGACCUCUCUGUAGGGCAGCUCACAACAUGGCAGAUGGCUUCCAUCAGAGCAAGGAGGUGAGAAAAACAGAGAGAACGAGAAAGACAGAGAAAGAGAUGGAUGGAAGCCAAAAUGUUUUUGCAAUCUGACCUCAGAUGUGGCAUCCUGUCUCUUUUGUCAUAUUCUGUUCAUUAAAAAAAAGUCAUUAGGUUCAGCUCACACUCAAGGUGAGGGGAUUACACGACGGAAUGAAGACCAGGAGCCAUCUCAGUGGCUCCCUAGGACACAGCUCAAAUCUGCUCUUUCAUCCCGUGUCAGACCUGGACAGCUCUGACCCAUUCUCCAAGCCUCAGAGUAGAUGCUUUACCCUCCAGGAUUGAGUUAAUGGUCCUUCAAGCAUGCCUCUGUGACACCCUGGACUUCUCCAUCAUAGCCCCCACCACAGCAUGUCAUUACCUAGCCACUGGUCUGCCUCCUGCCCCUUCUGUAAGCUCUGUGAGGACAGCCACCUUGUCUCUUGUCUUCACUGAUGUGGACCCAGACCCAAGCAUAGGGCCAAAACAUACUGGGCACUCGGGGUAUGUUUACUAAAUUUAUUAAACGAC